CCCUUAGAUGUUCUGGGCCGCACGCGUGCUACACUGAGUGGAUCAGCGGGUCAGGUUGCGCGAAAGCGUUUCCUAAUCUAUAAAUCCGCUCGUGAUGGGGAUUGACGGUUGCAAUUUUCUGUCAUGAACGAGGAAUACCUUGUAAGCGCGGGUCAUCAUCCCGCGCUGAAUACGUCCCUGCCCUUUGUACACACCGCCCGUCGCUCCUACCGAUUGAGUGGUCCGGUGAGGCUUUGGGAUCUGAGCGGAAAGAGCGUUUCGCUGUUUCUGCUCGGAAAACUCAGUCGAACCUUAUCAUUUAGAGGAAGGAGAAGUCGUAACA
rnacentral:rRNA from 1 species